CUUGCUACUUAUGCCGGCGACCGGCGGACGGGUGCGUAACGCGUAUGUAACCUACCUUUGACAGGGGGAUAACAUCGAGAAAUUGGUACUAAUACCCCAUAACAUCCAGGGAGGCAUCUUCUUGGGUUGAAAACUCCGGUGGUAAUGGAUGGGCAUGCGUUGUAUUAGUUAGUUGGUGGGGUAACGGCUCACCAAGACAACGAUACAUAGGGGGACUGAGAGGUUAACCCCCCACAUUGGUACUGAGACACGGACCAAACUCCUACGGAAGGCAGCAG
rnacentral:rRNA from 1 species